GUGGGGAUAGGUGAGUUGGUAGAGGAGAGGAGUGAAAAUGGUGGUGUGAGGAGUUGAAAUAUGGUAGAGGAGAGGAGUGAAAAUGGUGGUGUGAGGAGUUGAAAUA
rnacentral:tRNA from 1 species